rnacentral:tRNA from 1 species
GGAGGCGACUGCGUGCCUGGUGGACGUCGCGGUCUUCAAAACCGACGAGGGGGCGAAAGCUCCCUGGCGGGUUCGAUUCCCGUCCGCCUCCGCCA